rnacentral:rRNA from 1 species
AUGACGAUGCUGAUGGGCAGGCUGACCGGCGUAGCGCUGGAGCUGGCUCUCGCCGCCCUGCUCGUGCUCUUCCUCCCGCCCUACUACGUCUACAGGCUCACCGCCUCCUUCCUCGGCUCCGUCUUCCCCGACAGCGUCUCCGGCAAGGUCGUCCUCAUCACCGGCGCCUCCUCUGGCAUAGGCGAGCACCUGGCGUAUGAGUACGCGAAGAGAGGAGCCAACCUGGCGCUCGUGGCGAGAAGGGAGGCGAGCCUCAGGGAGGUCGCCGACAACGCGUCGGCGCUCGGCUCGCCGAGCGUCCUUGUCUUGCCGGCUGACGUCUCCAAGCCUGACGACUGCCGAAAGUUCAUCGACGACACGGUUGCCUACUUUGGAAGAUUGGACCACUUGGUGAACAACGCGUCGAUUUGGCAGGUCUGCAAGUUCGAAGAGGUGGAGGACGUUAACUACUUCAGAACAUUGAUGGACAUCAACUUCUGGGGCCAUGUGUACCCAACUCGCUAUGCCAUUCCUCACCUGAAGAAAACCCAUGGCCGGAUCGUCGGUGUCACCUCCAACUCCUCCUACAUAUUCAUCGGAAGGAACACCUUCUACAAUGCGAGCAAAGCAGCGGCGCUAAAUUUUUACGACACGCUUCGGAUGGAGCUCGGCGGGGAAGUCCGCAUUACAGAGAUCGUCCCAGGGGUGGUCGAGUCGGAGAUCACAAAGGGGAAGAUGCUCACCAAGGAAGGCGAGAUGAAAGUUUGA